GACGAACGCUGGCGGCGUGCCUAAUACAUGCAAGUAGAACGCUGAAGGAGGAGCUUGCUUCUCUGGAUGAGUUGCGAACGGGUGAGUAACGCGUAGGUAACCUGCCUGGUAGCGGGGGAUAACUAUUGGAAACGAUAGCUAAUACCGCAUAAUAGCAGUUGUUGCAUGACAACUGUUUGAAAGGUGCAAUUGCACCACUACCAGAUGGACCUGCGUUGUAUUAGCUAGUUGGUGGGGUAACGGCUCACCAAGGCGACGAUACAUAGCCAACCUGAGAGGGUGAUCGGCCACACUGGGACUGAGACACGGCCCAGACUCCUACGGGAGGCAGCAGUAGGGAAUCUUCGGCAAUGGACGGAAGUCUGACCGAGCAACGCCGCGUGAGUGAAGAAGGUUUUCGGAUCGUAAAGCUCUGUUGUAAGAGAAGAACGAGUGUGAGAGUGGAAAGUUCACACUGUGACGGUAUCUUACCAGAAAGGGACGGCUAACUACGUG
rnacentral:rRNA from 1 species